ACCUGAUAUACCCUUGGGGCACUAGAGAGCUCUGAUGCAUCUUCUUGAUUACGAGUGAAGAUCCCACUCCCUGUUAUCUCCUUCAUCUUAUGUUCUGAGCAAGGCUUCCUGAUCCCAAGACAAACAACAAAUUUCACAGGGCCUACAGACAAUUUGAGGAUAAUCAACAAUGCAAAUCAUCAAGAAUAAUUAAAACAAGUCACAGCCACAAAGAUGAAUCCAAGGAAACAGUACAGAUUCAAAUGAUUUGGGGUCACUCUUAGACACAAAAUUAGAAACUAAAUUGAGAAGAAAACCAAAAAUGAUAAAAGGAGGAAACUUUUGUUUUACCUUUUGUUCAAGCUCUCAACUUCUUCAUCAGUGACUUGACCACCAAAGACAACUCUGCUAACCCCAUCAGAUGGCUACACAUACAACAAGACAAAAUCCCAUAAAGAGGGAAACUGAAAAAGAAAAAAAAACAAGAAAGUGUUGAACUUUUUUGUGUUGUACCUGGUGAGAUCGAACGGCGGAGGAGCGAGAAGCGGAGGAAGGAGAAUCCGACGGUGGAGCUUCCGACCAAGUGAGUAGAUCUGCGGUUGAUGUGUGCGGCUUUCUCACUGGAGUGGUUCUCUCCAUAUUUGUUUUUUUUUUUUUUUCUGAGCGGAAUCUAAAAGGCUGAUGCUUUUUUUUUAUUGUUAAA